rnacentral:rRNA from 1 species
AGUGAACGCUGGCGGUAGGCCUAACACAUGCAAGUCGAACGGCAGCACAGUAAGAGCUUGCUCUUACGGGUGGCGAGUGGCGGACGGGUGAGGAAUACAUCGGAAUCUACUUUUUCGUGGGGGAUAACGUAGGGAAACUUACGCUAAUACCGCAUACGACCUACGGGUGAAAGCAGGGGAUCUUCGGACCUUGCGCGAUUGAAUGAGCCGAUGUCGGAUUAGCUAGUUGGCGGGGUAAAGGCCCACCAAGGCGACGAUCCGUAGCUGGUCUGAGAGGAUGAUCAGCCAAACUGGAACUGAGACACGGUCCAGACUCCUACGGGAGGCAGCAGUGGGGAAUAUUGGACAAUGGGCGCAAGCCUGAUCCAGCCAUACGGCGUGGGUGAAGAAGGCCUUCGGGUUGUAAAGCCCUUUUGUGGGGAAAGAAAAGCAGCAGGUUAAUACCCCGCUGUUCUGACGGUACCCAAAGAAUAAGCACCGGCUAACUUCGU